rnacentral:lncRNA from 1 species
GCUACUGGUUGUUUGUUUGUGUGUUGCGCAGGUACGGCCAGACGGAGGUGGUGGCGUGGUGCGCGUAGAGAGGAAGACCGAAGGCGCGGUUCGUGCGAGGGCAGAGCCUGGUUGCGGCGUUGGGGGUUUGCUACUAGGGUUUCUGCAAUCUUUGUGUUGGGCUUGUAACACGAUUGGGCUAGGGAUUAGGUCAUUCGGGUUUAGUGUUGGGUCAGAUUAGGUUUGGGUUAUAAUUUUGGGCUAGCUGAAAUUUGUAAAUGGACUGCUAAUAAUUUAAUUUAUUUGUUUUUCCUUUUCUGGUAUUUAUUAGGUUUUAAUAACUGGAUUCGGGCCGGGCAAAAUUUGGG